rnacentral:rRNA from 1 species
UACAGAGGUCUCAAGCGUUGUUCGGAUUCAUUGGGCGUAAAGGGUGCGUAGGCGGCGCGGUAAGUCGGGUGUGAAAUCUCGGGGCUUAACUCCGAAACUGCAUUCGAUACUGCCGUGCUUGAGGACUGGAGAGGAGACUGGAAUUUACGGUGUAGCGGUGAAAUGCGUAGAUAUCAGGAGGAACACCGGUGGCGAAGGCGGGUCUCUGGGCCGAAAUUGACGCUGAGGAGCGAGAGCGUGGGGAGCAAACAGG